rnacentral:rRNA from 1 species
UCCUACGGGAGGCAGCAGUGGGGAAUUUUGGACAAUGGGGGAAACCCUGAUCCAGCAAUGCCGCGUGUGCGAAGAAGGCCUUCGGGUUGUAAAGCACUUUUGUCAGGGAAGAAAUCCUUUGGGCUAAUACCCGUGGGGGGAUGACGGUACCUGAAGAAUAAGCACCGGCUAACUACGUGCCAGCAGCCGCGGUA